CGUGUUUUGCAGACAUUGGUGCUGGGUUUACAAGUUCUGGGAUGUCGCUGCGUCUGGGUGUUAUUGCAGGUCACCUGUGGAUGGAGCUGGGUGAAUAGUUGAUGUUUCGGGCUGGCAGCAAACAGAAAACCAGAGCAGGGAUUCGGGUCAGUUCCGAACGCUUUUGGAAUUUGUCAGUAAAUCGGGAAACUCUGCUUCGGGUCAUAAAAAUGUUUCACUCGGGGCAGCUUCCUAAGAAUUCCUGCCCCACCCAACCUUUCUCUGGGGUGAGGGCACUCGUCUGGGAUGUGGGAGACCCACAUGUGGAACCCCACUUUGGAGCAGGGUCUUGAGCAGAAGCCUGGACCCUUGAACCUGAGAUGUCAGGGAAUGUCGGGGAGCGGCGGCCCAGACCCCUGAGGAUGUAGCGAGCAGGAGGAGAGGCAGAGAGGAGUAAUUCCCGGAGCUGCCGCUGGAUACUGUGUGGUUCCAGCUGUAGAUUACCUUCUCCUCUGAGACUGUCUGCGAUGAAACCUCCUCCCCAUCCUUGCAGAAGACGAUGCGGGUCGCCAGGACCUGGGAGAAUACGGAGCACUGGAGCCGCAUGGAGUCACCUGGCCGGGCAGACGUCGGGCUCAGCUGGAAGCCUUUUCUAUCAAUACAAACCCUUCUGGCAUGAGUGUAUGUGGGGACAGACAGACAGACGGACUCACCGGGAGCUGAGCAGAUCUCCUGGAUGCUGGGACUCAGCGCUGCGAAUAGAAAGGUUCGAUGUGGUUAGUGCUGGAGUUAAAAUCUCUCCCUUGUCUGAGGUCCCUCU